rnacentral:rRNA from 1 species
CCUACGGGAGGCUGCAGUGGGGAAUAUUGGGCAAUGGGCGCAAGCCUGACCCAGCAACGCCGCGUGAAGGAAGAAGGCUUUCGGGUUGUAAACUUCUUUUAAGAGGGAAGAGCAGAAGACGGUACCUCUUGAAUAAGCCACGGCUAACUACGUGCCAGCAGCCGCGGUAAUACGUAGGUGGCAAGCGUUGUCCGGAUUUACUGGGUGUAAAGGGCGUGCAGCCGGGAAGACAAGUCAGAUGUGAAACCCCGCGGCUCAACCGCGGAACUGCAUUUGAAACUGUUUUUCUUGAGUACAAGAGAGGUAAGCGGAAUGCGUGGUGUAGCGGUGAAAUGCGUAGAUAUAAGGAAGAACACCAGUGGCGAAGGCGGAUGGCUGGACGGCGACUGACGGUGAGGCGCGAAAGCGUGGGGAGCGAACAGGAUUAGAUACCCUGGUAGUC